GACGGAACGCGUGGACGGCGCGCCUAACACAUGCAAGUCGAACGAGCGAGAGAGAGCUUGCUUUCUCAAGCGAGUGGCGAACGGGUGAGUAACGCGUGAGGAACCUGCCUCAAAGAGGGGGACAACAGUUGGAAACGACUGCUAAUACCGCAUAAGCCCACAGCUCGGCAUCGAGCAGAGGGAAAAGGAGUGAUCCGCUUUGAGAUGGCCUCGCGUCCGAUUAGCUGGUUGGUGAGGUAACGGCCCACCAAGGCGACGAUCGGUAGCCGGACUGAGAGGUUGAACGGCCACAUUGGGACUGAGACACGGCCCAG
rnacentral:rRNA from 1 species